rnacentral:rRNA from 1 species
CAGUCGCCGCGGUAAAACGUAGGUGGCAAGCGUUGUCCGGAAUUAUUGGGCGUAAAGCGCGCGCAGGCGGCCUAUCCAGUCUGUCUUAAAAGUUCGGGGCUCAACCCCGUGAUGGGAUGGAAACUAGCAGGCUAGAGUAUCGGAGAGGAAAGCGGAAUUCCUAGUGUAGCGGUGAAAUGCGUAGAUAUUAGGAAGAACACCAGUGGCGAAGGCGGCUUUCUGGACGAAAACUGACGCUGAGGCGCGAAAGCCAGGGGAGCGAACGGGAUUAGAUACCCCUGUAGUCCCUGUCUCUUAUACA